CCUACGGGGGGCAGCAGUGAGGAAUAUUGGUCAAUGGACGGAAGUCUGAACCAGCCAUGCCGCGUGCAGGAAGACGGCUCUAUGAGUUGUAAACUGCUUUUGUACAAGGGUAAACCUGAAUACGUGUAUUCAGCUGAAAGUACUGUACGAAUAAGGAUCGGCUAACUCCGUGCCAGCAGCCGCGGUAAUACGGAGGAUCCAAGCGUUAUCCGGAUUUAUUGGGUUUAAAGGGUGCGUAGGCGGAUUGAUACGUUAGAGGUGAAAUGUCCGAGCUUAACUCGGGAAUUGCCUCUAAUACUGUUGGUCUAGAGAGUAGAUGCGGUAGGCGGAAUGUAUGGUGUAGCGGUGAAAUGCUUAGAGAUCAUACAGAACACCGAUUGCGAAGGCAGCUUACCAAUCUAUAUCUGACGUUGAGGCACGAAAGCGUGGGGAGCAAACAGGAUUAGAUACCCUGGUAGUC
rnacentral:rRNA from 1 species